AUGGCCGCCCGUUCUCCUGCCGCCGCAGGGUUCGAAAACGAGUGCAGAGAGAUCCAUGGCGCGUGCGACGAGCCGCGCCGCCUGAGCCGCCUCCUGGCUCACCGGAGCGCGUCGGAGAGGCAGCAGAUCAAGGUGACGUACCGUGCAAUGUUCGGCGAGGACCUCGCCGGCAGGCUCCACAAAACCCUCACGGCCAAUCAGGACAAUGAGCUCUGCAACCUGCUCUACCUGUGGAUGCUUGACCUGGCGGAGCGAGACGCGAUCAUGGCGAGGGACGCCAUCGAGAGCGGCGCGGCGGCCGAUUACCGCGCCCUUGUCGAGGUCUUCACGCGGCGGAAGCAGGACCAGCUCUUCUUCACCAAGCAGGCGUACCUGUCCAGGUUCAAGAAGAACCUGGAGCAGGACAUGGACACCGACCCCUCGCACCCUUAUCAGAGACUAUUGGUAGCUCUGGCAACCUCCCACAAGUCGCACCACGAUGAACCCAGCCGGCACAUCGCGAAGUGCGACGCCAGGCGAUUGUACGACGCCAAGAACGGUGGCGGCACGGGAUCGGUCGACGAGGCCGCCAUCCUCGAGAUGUUCAGCAAGAGGAGCAUCCCACAGCUCAGGCUGGCGCUCUGCAGUUACAAGCAUAUAUAUGGGCAUGACUUCACCAAAGCACUGAAGAAGAAUUUGGCUGGUGAUUUUGAAGAGUCUCUGAGACUUGUUGUCAAGUGCAUCUACAGUCCUUCCAAGUAUUACUGCAAGUUACUGCAGAGAAGCAUGCAACGCCCAGAAGCCCAUAAAAGGUUGGUUACGAGGGCUAUCUUGGGCAGCGACGACGUCGGCAUAAACGAGAUCAAGUUGGCGUUCAAGAGUAACUUCGGAAAGAACUUCGCAGAUUUCAUCCAUGAAAGCUUACCACAGAGUGAUUACAGAGAGUUUCUUUGGUUGUGGCAAGGGGGCCGGUGCCCAGUAGCAUCAUAA
rnacentral:rRNA from 1 species